rnacentral:rRNA from 1 species
UACAGAGGUCUCAAGCGUUGUUCGGAUUCAUUGGGCGUAAAGGGUGCGUAGGUGGCGGGGUAAGUCAGGUGUGAAAUCUCAGAGCUCAACUCUGAAACUGCACUCGAUACUGCUUUGCUCGAGGACUGGGAGAGGAGAUUGGAAUUCACGGUGUAGCAGUAGAAAUGCGUAGAUAUCGUGAGGAAGACCAGUGGCGAAGGCG